rnacentral:lncRNA from 1 species
UAACUGCUCAAUAAAUAUUCUUCAAGUGGAUUAACUCACCUGCUUCAUUGAAUGACAUGAUAGGCCCUGUUUAUCUAUGAUGAAGCUAUACUUUUCAAGGCUUAAAGCUCCCCUUAGAAUCCCUCUUUGCCUGCUUCUAAUGUGCUCAGAAGAAAGCACAUACAUAUACCUGUACAUAUAUACAUAUACAUAGACACAGAAAUUAAAGGAGAUACAAAUAAAUGUAAAGGCAUCCUAUGUUUAUGUAUUAGAAGAAUCAAUCUUGUUAAAAUGUCUACACUACUCAAAGCAAUCUAUAGAUUCAGUGCAAGCUCUAUUACCAUUCCAAUGACAUUUUUUAGAGAAAUAGAAAAAGUAAUCCUAACAUUCAUAUGAAACCAGGAAAGACCUGAAGAGUCAAAGCAAUUUUGAGUAAGAACAAAGCUGGAAGUUCCUGAUUUCAAAAUAUGUUACAAAGCUACAGCAAUCAAAAUAGUAUGGUACUGUGGCAUAAAAAACAAA